AGAGUUUGAUCCUGGCUCAGAUUGAACGCUGGCGGCAUGCUUUACACAUGCAAGUCGAACGGUAACAGGUCUUCGGAUGCUGACGAGUGGCGAACGGGUGAGUAAUACAUCGGAACGUGCCUAGUAGUGGGGGAUAACUACUCGAAAGAGUAGCUAAUACCGCAUGAGAUCUACGGAUGAAAGCAGGGGACCUUCGGGCCUUGUGCUACUAGAGCGGCUGAUGGCAGAUUAGGUAGUUGGUGGGGUAAAGGCUUACCAAGCCUGCGAUCUGUAGCUGGUCUGAGAGGACGACCAGCCACACUGGGACUGAGACACGGCCCAGACUCCUACGGGAGGCAGCAGUGGGGAAUUUUGGACAAUGGGCGAAAGCCUGAUCCAGCAAUGCCGCGUGCAGGAUGAAGGCCCUCGGGUUGUAAACUGCUUUUGUACGGAACGAAAAGCCUGGGGCUAAUAUCCCCGGGUCAUGACGGUACCGUAAGAAUAAGCACCGGCUAACUACGUGCCAGCAGCCGCGGUAAUACGUAGGGUGCAAGCGUUAAUCGGAAUUACUGGGCGUAAAGCGUGCGCAGGCGGUUUUGUAAAACAGUGGUGAAAUCCCCGGGCUCACCUGGGAACUGCCAUUGUGACUGCAAGGCUAAAGUGCGCAAANGGGAUGG
rnacentral:rRNA from 1 species